rnacentral:rRNA from 1 species
CCUACGGGUGGCAGCAGUGGGGAAUAUUGGACAAUGGACCGAAAGUCUGAUCCAGCAAUUCUGUGUGCACGAUGAAGUUUUUCGGAAUGUAAAGUGCUUUCAGUUGGGAAGAAAUAAAUGACGGUACCAACAGAAGAAGUGACGGCUAAAUACGUGCCAGCAGCCGCGGUAAUACGUAUGUCACGAGCGUUAUCCGGAUUUAUUGGGCGUAAAGCGCGUCUAGGUGGUUAUAUAAGUCUGAUGUGAAAAUGCAGAGCUCAACUCUGUAUUGCGUUGGAAACUGUAUAACUAGAGUACUGGAGAGGUAAGCGGAACUACAAGUGUAGAGGUGAAAUUCGUAGAUAUUUGUAGGAAUGCCGAUGGGGAAGCCAGCUUACUGGACAGAUACUGACGCUAAAGCGCGAAAGCGUGGGUAGCAAACAGGAUUAGAUACCCUGGUAGUC